AUGGUGGAGGGCUCCAUACAAGACAUUGCUAACCUGAAGUUCCUCCUCCUGUGCUUCCAACAAAUGUCGGGCCUAACCAUCAACUUCGAUAAGAGCGAAGUGAUGGUUCUCGGGUACCCCCCGGAGGAAGCACAGGCUAUUGCUGACCGACUAAAUUGUCGGUUGGGUUCUUUCCCCACGACUUACUUGGGGAUCCCCAUUAGUGAUUCGGGCCUCACCGUGGCCGAUCUUCGCCCCACGGUGACCCGUAUGCAACAUCGCGUUGAGCCCUGGAAAGGAUGCUGGUUGUCGAAGGCUGCUCGCGUGAUCCUUAUCAACUCUUCGCUUGCCAGCCUUCUAUGGUUCCUCAUGAGCUUCUAUAGCCUCCAUGAUACCCUCCAUCAGGAGAUCGCCAAAUACCAAUCCAGAUUCUUCUGGGCUGGGGAGGGGGAUAAGCAGAAGUACCACAUGGUCAGCUGGCCAGAUAUCUGCAAACCCAAGGACCAGGGCGGUCUUGGGAUCUUGUCCUCCCGACGCAUGAACAUUGCCCUCCUGACCCGUUGGCUCAGGCGCAUUGCCAAUGGCGAUGGAGGUCUUUGGCUCACCAUCAUCCAGAACAAGUACCUUCGAGGACAACCUCUCGCAUUCUGUCAGCGCUCGGGCGGCUCCCAGUUCUCGCAUUCUGUAAGUGCAUCUAGUGCCCCUUAG
rnacentral:rRNA from 1 species